AUAAGGCGGUGUCUAAAGGAGACUUCCACCUGGCGAGCUCCAGUUCAAGGCGGGCUCUCUUCCUGGCCGUGCUGUCAAUCACCAUCGGGACGGGUAUCUAUGUGGGCGUGGCCGUGGCGCUCAUCGCCUACCUCUCCAAGAACCACCACUGGUAGCCUCCUCGCCAGGGAGGGAUAUUACCCAUCAGACACCAGGAAUGUGUUGGGAUGUUCACUGUCACCUGGAUUCCGGCUCUCAUCUGGGCUUUCCCUCAGCAGGACGACCCGCAGCGAUGAGCUUGAGGAAGACUUCCUGUUUGCAGACAGCACGUUCAACCAAAACACGGUGAGACGUUCGUGUUUUUAAAUGGUGGCGUCGGCCGGCUGAUCCAACCUCGAUGGGUCGACUUUUUUUUAGGUGACUAUGGAGUUUGGAGGACUCUAACCUGAAGACUUUAAACCAAUCAGAUCGCAGGAUCUUUGUGAGGAAUUGUGGGGAUUUUUAACAAGAUGAGAUGGAAACAAAGAAGCUGCAGCUGUUUGUUCUUCGGUCUCAUUUCCAGUGCUGAGACUUACCUGUGAGACACAGAGAGGAUGGUGAAAGUUUUGGGAAACAAGACGCUUCAGAUUUGGUCAGACAAAUCAGUUGGAAACUUUAAAAACAAUGAAACAUAAAACAAAAAAGCUGUUUAACUUUACCUUGAUUUAUUUUCUUUAAAUUAUAGAAAUUAAAAAGUGAAAUCCUUGGUCAAAAAAAUCCUUCCAAACAAUGAAAUGCUUCUCCAACACGAUGCAGACUACGUUUGUUGAACAGUUAUUAUCUAGAAGUCGAUGCUGCAGCAGCCAUCUAAACUUUAAAAAGAGUAUUUGCUGCUACUUCUUUUCUUCAGCAGCAGAAAGAGCUCGUUAGUAAGUUAGAGAGCAACCAAGAUUCAGCAGAAACACACUUUCAGAGUCCUGCCAACUCCACCUGACACCAAACCACUUUCCGUCACAGUCAUGGUGCGUUCGCGUGCUCCUCGGAUGGUCCCAUUUCCUGAGGUGUGAAGUUGUUCUUUAGACUUCAGUGUGUGUUAAUGUGCUCUUAAGUUGGAAUGUGGUAACAACAUGGACGCUACUACAAAGAUGUGUUGGAUUGUUGUCAUCAAAGUGUGGUGAAAGAGGUUAAAACUUUCUAUUACAAUUUAUUUUUAGAUUUGUUUCCAACAGCACCAGUACAUUACCUGAAACUACUGACAUAUUGCUUUUACUGCAAAUAAAUAACUUUCCUAAUUAAUUUUGGACACACUACAUGGACAGGAAACAAACCUAAACUAACCUAAUACCAUAUUACGAAUUACGCGUUAGCAAGAAAUGUUUCAAACCAUCUGCCAUGUUUGUCCACCAUGUUUCCAUGUAUAUGAUGUCAACAACCUGGCAACUUGUGCACCAAAAUGUU